rnacentral:lncRNA from 1 species
GGCUUCCAACCUUCUGGUGCGAAAAUUUUCUUAACACAAAUUAAACCCUCUUGUUGUCAAGUUGUAGUAUAAAUGCAAGUAGGGAUCGUUCUAAACCGGGGAUUAGGAAGGCUGGCUAAUAACCUCUAAACUGACUUAAAAAUAUAUAAACAAAGUUAAAAACACUAAACUAGACUCAAAGAAUUCAAAACAAACACCCUAAAAACACAAACUGGGCAGAUUUGGACUCUAAACACACUUUUGGACGAAUUUUGGUUUCAACUUGGUUUGAAAUACUUAAAAGCACAAACUAAAUCAGUUUCUAACUAAUAUGACUCAACAAGGUAAAGGGGGUUUUGGUUUUGAUGAAUUUGAAAACAAAACAAGUAAAUUAAAGAACUAAUGAAAUCUGCACGAAUUUGAGUAAAUUGAAUGGAUGGAAGGCUAGCUAGGAGGUUCUUCUCCACACAUGACACACUUGCAUACAAAUUGAUGUUCAGUUAUUCUUUCGAUAAACCAUAAAUCUCAAUGCCCCAGAUUAACCGUGAAUUGCACUAAUUAACCCUUAGAUUUUCCUAUUUUCAUUGAAUUGGAUGAUUGCAUGCGACAACCCAAAUUAUUCCUCACAAGUUCUCUACAUGAAUUGCAUAAUAGAGAUACGAGCAAAGAUCAUUAAAUACGAGCAAAGAUCAUUAAGUUCUAUGAAAAUCAUAAGCAUUGACGAGGCACUUGUAACUAUGAAUUGCAUGAAACUUAUGCCAAGAAUUUACUUAACGCGAUUGUGACUAGCAACCUUCACUACUUGUGAAUAUAAGUUCAUAACGAUUAGGUGAAACUCCCUUAUAUUCUAGCAUCAAAUUCUUGCAUGCCAACUAAGUGUCGACCCUCAAUUAACAUACAAGAAUAAGUUUUGAAUCAAACAGUUAAGUAAAUUGCAUUCACAAUUUAUGAAAUCACAACUGAAAGUAAUCAAUUCAUAUUGCAAAUAUAGUCAUGGUUUUGAAAUUCCCCCUAACUAAAUAAGGGUUUAGCCACUCAUAGUUGCAACAAAAUCAGAAAAUAACAAAGUAGACAUUAAAAGCAAGAAUGAAGUACACCUAAAACGCUCCAAUCUUCCAAGCUUGAAAUGCCAAGGACCUUUGUUUUCACCACCUUGUUGUAGCACAAAUGUCUAGGAUGUGUAUGGAUAUGUGGGAAUGAAUGGAUGAAGAUGGUAUUUGUGUUUGUGAAUGUCACUCUUUUUUGAUGGGUCAAGAUUCUUCUUAGGAAAGGGAAUGGUGGAUGUAUUUAUAGGCUAAGGAGAGGACCACUUCAAUUCCCUGCAUGUGCAGUUUGUAUGGGUGUGUGAUGUCCAUGUUUCCCUUUACAUUUGCACACACAUGACCUCCAUCAUUUUAGCCACAAAACAAACACAUUUUCUACCAUGUUUCUCCUUUACAUUUACACACAUGUUCUUCACCAUUUCAACCACAAAUCAACCCAUUUUCUGCCCAUGUGUGUGUGUUUCCUUUGCCCAUGUGUGUGUGUUUCCCUUUGCAUUUGCACACACAUGUUCUUCAUUAUUUCAGCCAACAAUCCACCCAUUUUCUGCCCAUGCCAAGCCCUCCAUGUUGUGCCGUUUGCAUGUGUAUAGCUGUCCAUGUUUCUCUUUUGCAUGUGCCAUGCCUUCUCUUUCUAGCUGUGCAUUUCCACUUGCUUCAAAGCCAAAUGAGUGCAAUCAUAACCCCAUUUGC